AGCGAACGCUGGCGGCAGGCCUAACACAUGCAAGUCGAACGAAGUCUUCGGACUUAGUGGCGGACGGGUGAGUAACACGUGGGAACGUGCCUUUAGGUUCGGAAUAACUCAGGGAAACUUGUGCUAAUACCGAAUGUGCCCUGCGGGGGAAAGAUUUAUCGCCUUUAGAGCGGCCCGCUUCAGAUUAGCUAGUUGGUAAGGUAAAGGCUCACCAAGGCCACGAUCAGUAGCUGGUCUUAGAGGAUGACCAGCCACAUUGGGACUGAGCCACGGCCCAAGCUCCCACGGGAGGCAGCAGUGGGGAAUCUUGCGCAAUGGGCGAAAGCCUGACGCAGCCAUGCCGCGUGGAUGAUGAAGGUCUUAGGAUUGUAAAAUCCUUUCACCGGUGAAGAUAAUGACUGUAGCCGGAGAAGAAGCCCCGGCUAACUUCGUGCCAGCCGCCGCGGUAAUAC
rnacentral:rRNA from 1 species